rnacentral:rRNA from 1 species
GACGAACGCUGGCGGCGUGCUUAACACAUGCAAGUCGAACGAUGAACCCGGAGCUUGCUCCGGUGGAUUAGUGGCAAACGGGUGAGUAACACGUGAGUAACCUGCCCUUGACUCUGGGAUAACUGCGGGAAACUGUAGCUAAUACCGGAUACGACCCUCGGCGGCAUCGCCAGGGGGUGGAAAGAAUUUCGGUCAAGGAUGGACUCGCGGCCUAUCAGCUAGUUGGUGAGGUAACGGCUCACCAAGGCGACGACGGGUAGCCGGCCGGCGAGGGGGACCGGCCACACUGGGACUGAGACACGGCCCAGACUCCGACGGGGGGCAGCAGUGGGGAAUAUUGCACAAUGGGCGCAAGCCUGAUGCGGCAACGCCGCGUGAGGGAUGACGGCCUUCGGGUUGUAAACCUCUUUUAGUAGGGAAGAAGCGAAAGUGACGGUACCUGCAGAAAAAGCACCGGCUAACUACGUGCCAGCCGCCGCGGUAA